ACCAAUGGUAAUUACCUAUAAGCUGUGACAAACCACUAAAAUAUAGAAUAACCAUUGAGAAUAACAAGUUUCAUAUGCGUAUUUAACCGAUAUGCGGCUAAAUGACGAGAAGAAUUCUUUUUUCGAUUUCAGGUUUGCAUUGCAUUCUCAAUGUGGGGAAACAUCUCGAUUUUUUGUUCUUCAAAGCAUUUGACCAGAUGCACUUGCAUCUUCUUCUGCAGCCAGGUAACAGAGCAAGGGUUAACAGCAUUUGCCACAACAAAAAGACCACAAUCUGAUGAUCCUUUUUGAUGUUGUUGGAGAAUCACUUUGACGUUUAAAGAACCAUCCUGUUCUUGAAGGUUUUUGUAAACAUUCUGGAGUUGCCUUUUUAAUGAUGAAUUCAGAUUCCAUCCGUUGAAUAAUAUGAGAAACAACAUACUUUGGUCUAUUGUGCAGGAACUUUGGGAUUUGUUUGCUGUAGGACUUGUACGAAUCGGAUGAUUUGAUAUUCUGUUCCUUAUAUCUAUAAAGAGAAAAUUGUUUCCACAGUGGAUUCUCUUGACUGAUGAUGUUCAGGACUUCUGAUAUGGAAUCCAUGUCCUAAUUUUGGGAUAUGAAGACAGCAACAACGAUGUAACAAACAUUUGAUCGGACACAUAAGAAAAACAACGGUAGUGCGUACCUCAAAAGACGCGAAUUGGAAAACUUUAAAACAUUAACUUUCCAAGUGACAACAAUUGGAAACUCUAUUUUCGAACUAGCAUUUGGCAACAAUUCCAUGAUGAUUUCCCGCGCUUUUUAUGUUUAGAUUCUCAUAGAAUAUAUGUAUGGCAAGUUUCAAUUUUACAAUGUAGGAAAAUGUGAAUUUUUUGUUGCUCGAAAAACAUUUAGCCAAAUGCAUUGUAUCUUCUCAUAUGACCAUAAAAUCAAGAAAUGGUGCAUUCAAUGCUGUUAGGGAGGUGGGUGCAUGGAAAUCAAGCAUUCUUCAUGAAAUUAUGGAUAGUCAUUGCAGAGCACAGAGCACCCCAACCUGACAAAGAUUUUUAGUUUACAAAAUUGAUAAAGAAACUUGUUCAUGUUAAGUGGUAAUAUUAUUUGCAAACACUAUGA